UACGGUGUACAUUUGGUUGAAAAGCAAUUUUAAUCGUCCCGGAGGAGUUCGGUAAAGUUCUGGAGCAAUCGGGCGUUUCGGUGCGCGUAGGUGCGAAAACGGAACCCGAAAGGCUAUGUUGGACCAUGGACUAAAUCCAGCAUUAGCGUGGAUGAAAAGAUGAUGAAAACAUGCUUGAAAAUAUAUUUGGAGAGUUUCGGUUCGAUUUGAAACGAAUCGGAUGUCAAACGAACGAAAACGGAGCAAAAACGGUGAAAAUGUUGAAAAAUUGGCUAAGUCCUGAAAAAAGGGCUGUGUAUUGGUGACAGCAUUUCGUGUACCGGUACGCAGUGUA
rnacentral:lncRNA from 1 species